rnacentral:rRNA from 1 species
AUUGAACGCUGGCGGCAGGCCUAACACAUGCAAGUCGAACGGUAGCACAGAGAGCUUGCUCUCGGGUGACGAGUGGCGGACGGGUGAGUAACGUCUGGGAAACUGCCCGAUGGAGGGGGAUAACUACUGGAAACGGUAGCUAAUACCGCAUAACGUCGCAAGACCAAAGUGGGGGACCUUCGGGCCUCACACCAUCGGAUGUGCCCAGAUGGGAUUAGCUAGUAGGUGGGGUAAUGGCUCACCUAGGCGACGAUCCCUAGCUGGUCUGAGAGGAGGACCAGCCACACUGGAACUGAGACACGGUCCAGACUCCUACGGGAGGCAGCAGUGGGGAAUAUUGCACAAUGGGCGCAAGCCUGAUGCAGCCAUGCCGCGUGUAUGAAGAAGGCCUUCGGGUUGUAAAGUACUUUCAGCGGGGAGGAAGGCGGUGAAGUUAAUAACCUUGCCGAUUGACGUUACCCGCAGAAGAAGCACCGGCUAACUCCGUGCCAGCCGCCGCCGUAA